UACGGGGGGGGCAAGCGUUGUUCGGAAUUACUGGGCGUAAAGGGUUCGUAGGUGGCUCGCUAAGUCAGACGUGAAAUCCCUCAGCUUAACUGGGGAAUUGCCUUUAAGACUGCAUCGCUUGAAUCCGGGAGAGGUGAGUGGAAUUCCGAGUGUAGAGGUGAAAUUCGUAGAUAUUCGGAAGAACACCAGUGGCGAAGGCGGCUCACUGGACCGGUAUUGACGCUGAGGUGCGAAAGCGUGGGGAGCAAACAGG
rnacentral:rRNA from 1 species